rnacentral:ncRNA from 1 species
AGCACGAAAUCGUGCUGGCAUAUGUAAGUCCGACGUGCCUUUUGGCACGGCCUUGCUCGUAAUGGCUUGGGAUUAC